rnacentral:rRNA from 1 species
UUCGCCCUUAGAGUUUGAUCCUGGCUCAGGAUGAACGCUGGCGGCGUGCUUAACACAUGCAAGUCGAGCGAAGCAGUUAAGUUGAUUUCUUCGGAUUGAUUCUUAAUUGACUGAGCGGCGGACGGGUGAGUAACGCGUGGGUGACCUGCCCCAUACCGGGGGAUAACAGCUGGAAACGGCUGCUAAUACCGCAUAAGCGCACAGAGCUGCAUGGCUCGGUGUGAAAAACUCCGGUGGUAUGGGAUGGGCCCGCGUCUGAUUAGGCAGUUGGCGGGGUAACGGCCCACCAAACCGACGAUCAGUAGCCGGCCUGAGAGGGCGACCGGCCACAUUGGGACUGAGACACGGCCCAAACUCCUACGGGAGGCAGCAGUGGGGAAUAUUGCACAAUGGGGGAAACCCUGAUGCAGCGACGCCGCGUGAGCGAAGAAGUAUUUCGGUAUGUAAACUUCUAUCAGCAGGGAAGAUAGUGACGGUACCUGACUAAGAAGCCCCGGCUAACUACGUGCCAGCAGCCGCGGUAAUACGUAGGGGGCAAGCGUUAUCCGGAUUUACUGGGUGUAAAGGGAGCGUAGACGGUGUGGCAAGUCUGAUGUGAAAGGCAUUGGCUCAACCUGUGGACUGCAUUGGAAACUGUCAUACUUGAGUGCCGGAGGGGUAAGCGGAAUUCCUAGUGUAGCGGUGAAAUGCGUAGAGAUAGGGAGGAACACCAGUGGCGAAGGCGGCCUACUGGGCUUUAACUGACGCUGAGGCACGAAAGCGUGGGUAGCAAACAGGAUUAGAUACCCUGGUAGUCCACGCUGUAAACGAUGAUUACUAGGUGUGGGGGGUCUGACCCCCUUCCGUGCCGGAGUUAACACAAUAAGUAAUCCACCUGGGGAGUACGACCGCAAGGUUGAAACUCAAAGGAAUUGACGGGGGCCCGCACAAGCAGUGGAGUAUGUGGUUUAAUUCGAAGCAACGCGAAGAACCUUACCAGGUCUUGACAUCGAGUGACGAAUCUAGAGAUAGAUUUUUCCUUCGGGACACAAAGACAGGUGGUGCAUGGUUGUCGUCAGCUCGUGUCGUGAGAUGUUGGGUUAAGUCCCGCAACGAGCGCAACCCUUGCUAUUAGUUGCUACGCAAGAGCACUCUAAUAGGACUGCCGUUGACAAAACGGAGGAAGGUGGGGACGACGUCAAAUCAUCAUGCCCCUUAUGACCUGGGCUACACACGUACUACAAUGGAUGUAAACAGAGGGAAGCAAAAUAGCGAUAUGGAGCAAACCCCAAAAAGCAUUCUCAGUUCAGAUUGCAGGCUGCAACUCGCCUGUAUGAAGUUGGAAUUGCUAGUAAUCGCGGAUCAGCAUGCCGCGGUGAAUACGUUCCCGGGCCUUGCACACACCGCCCGUCA